CCCCUAGACGUUCUGGGCCGCACGCGCGCUACACUGAACAGUUCAACAAGUCUUAACCUUGGCCGAUAGGUCUGGGUAAUCUUUGAACGCUGUUCGUGAUUGGGAUAGACCUUUGCAAUUAUGGGUCUUCAACGAGGAAUUCCUAGUAAACGCAAGUCAUCAGCUUGCAUUGAUUACGUCCCUGCCCUUUGUACACACCGCCCGUCGCACCUACCGAUUGAAUGGUCCGGUGAAAUCUCGGGACGGCGGCUCGGUCGCUUGCGUCCGACUGCUGAAACUUGAUUAAACCAUAUCAUUUAGAGGAAGGUGAAGUCGUAACA
rnacentral:rRNA from 1 species